rnacentral:rRNA from 1 species
AACGAACGCUGGCGGCAGGCUUAACACAUGCAAGUCGAGCGGUAACACAGAGGAGCUUGCUCCUUGGGUGACGAGCGGCGGACGGGUGAGUAAUGCCUGGGGAUCUGCCCGAUAGAGGGGGAUAACUACGGGAAACUGUAGCUAAUACCGCAUAAUGUCUACGGACCAAAGUGGGGGCUCUUCGGACCUCAUGCUAUCGUAUGAACCCAGGUGGGAUUAGCUAGUUGGGAAGGUAAUGGCUCACCAAGGCGACGAUCUCUAACUGGUUUGAGGGAAUGACCAGGCACACUGGAACUGAGAAACGGUCCAGACUCCUACGGGAGGCAGAAGUGGGGAAUAUUGCACAAUGGGCGCAAGCCUGAUGCAGCCAUGCCGCGUGUGUGAAGAAGGCCUUCGGGUUGUAAAGCACUUUCAGCGGGGAGGAAGGGUCGCUAGUUAAUACCUAGUGGCAUUGACGUUACUCGCAGAAGAAGCACCGGCUAACUCCGUGCCAGCCGCCGCCGUAAAAC